UGGGGAAUAUUGCACAAUGGGCGCAAGCCUGAUGCAGCCAUGCCGCGUGUAUGAAGAAGGCCUUCGGGUUGUAAAGUACUUUCAGCGAGGAGGAAGGCGUUGUGGUUAAUAACCGCAACGAUUGACGUUACUCGCAGAAGAAGCACCGGCUAACUCCGUGCCAGCAGCCGCGGUAAUACGGAGGGUGCAAGCGUUAAUCGGAAUUACUGGGCGUAAAGCGCACGCAGGCGGUCUGUCAAGUCGGAUGUGAAAUCCCCGGGCUCAACCUGGGAACUGCAUUCGAAACUGGCAGGCUAGAGUCUUGUAGAGGGGGGUAGAAUUUCAGGUGUAGCGGUGAAAUGCGUAGAGAUCUGGAGGAAUACCGGUGGCGAAGGCGGCCCCCUGGACAAAGACUGACGCUCAGGUGCGAAAGCGUGGGGAGCAAACA
rnacentral:rRNA from 1 species